rnacentral:rRNA from 1 species
CCUACGGGUGGCAGCAGUGGGGAAUAUUGCACAAUGGGCGCAAGCCUGAUGCAGCCAUGCCGCGUGUGUGAAGAAGGCCUUCGGGUUGUAAAGCACUUUCAGCGGGGAGGAAGGCGGUGAGGUUAAUAACCUCAGCGAUUGACGUUACCCGCAGAAGAAGCACCGGCUAACUCCGUGCCAGCAGCCGCGGUAAUACGGAGGGUGCAAGCGUUAAUCGGAAUUACUGGGCGUAAAGCGCACGCAGGCGGUCUGUCAAGUCGGAUGUGAAAUCCCCGGGCUCAACCUGGGAACUGCAUUCGAAACUGGCAGGCUAGAGUCUUGUAGAGGGGGGUAGAAUUCCAGGUGUAGCGGUGAAAUGCGUAGAGAUCUGGAGGAAUACCGGUGGCGAAGGCGGCCCCCUGGACAAAGACUGACGCUCAGGUGCGAAAGCGUGGGGAGCAAACAGGAUUAGAUACCCUAGUAGUC